UAACACGUGGGUAACCUGCCCAUCAGAAGGGGAUAACACUUGGAAACAGGUGCUAAUACCGUAUAACAAUCGAAACCGCAUGGUUUCGGUUUGAAAGGCGCUUUUGCGUCACUGAUGGAUGGACCCGCGGUGCAUUAGCUAGUUGGUGAGGUAACGGCUCACCAAGGCAACGAUGCAUAGCCGACCUGAGAGGGUGAUCGGCCACAUUGGGACUGAGACACGGCCCAG
rnacentral:rRNA from 1 species